AUCGCGAACUGAGUUAGUUACUUUCAAGUUUGUCGCACGAAGGAUCGAGCGCUUCGUUCUCACGAUAUCGUUUACACGGCAAGCAUCAGCGCGAUAUAGUCGUGACGUAAAAGUCUUGAACCUUCAAAUGGGGCUACAUUAACGAAUAGGCUGAGAAACACUGGUUUAGCCUAUAUUUAAACGGCGGCACGCCGCGUAUCUUAAGCGCGUUCAUUAAUGCACUUAAGUGUGUACCACCCGUUUAACCUUACGCCUGUUUACAGUUCUCUCGCCUGGACGAUUUGUAACCUACGACAUACUAAGACACAUUUCUGUCGUUCCUUCUCUCGUCUCGCUUGCUGGCUGACCUUGAUCGAGUUGUUCCUACGAAAGAAUGCCGCUAUUGAAAGCACUGCGAUAUAUCGUUGCAAUUUUAUCGAACGGUCAUGGUAAAUGACUCGGUACUCUUAUCGAAUUUAAAAAUCUUGCAAAUAAAAAAAAAUCGAAAUCGAUGCAAUGAUUCUUCUUCGAUUCACGAAUUCUGCGAUCAAAGAUUAACGCCAGAAUUCCGUUAUUAAACGAGAAAUCAAAGAAAUAGAAUGAUUGUAAAACCACAUCAACGGAAAUCAAUUAGAUUUGAAAUGACAUAUGAUUUUCGGUUACCAAUAUGUCAAGAAAUAUAUCAAUUCGAAUUGAAAAUGUAUUGUUGAAUCAAAACGAAGUCACGUGAAGAGAAAUGAAACGGAAAGAACCCGGAGUCAAAGACACGAGCGAAGGGUGAAGUGAGACAAAUGAUAACGAUACGACAUUUUUCUGAGCACAUGUAAAACUAUCUACGCGAUCUUUCGUGACCUAAGCUACGGAUAAAUACACGCCGUACAUCAGUGAAUAGUACUUACGUGCGCUAGCUAGACUGACUAUACGGCAAUCUACACUCACAUUCAAAAAUCAUUAACAAUCAUUAAUGGUAAUAUUUUAAUUUCUUGGAUAUACAUAUUUUUAUUUAUAACGUAUUAGUACAUAUUAAAUAGUUUUAUAAAAUAUUGAUAAAAUUUUCGCAACAUACCUGAAUUAUUCUUGCGGUACAAUCUUUUUACCGCAAUAAUUUCAAUUUGUUUUGCUAAGAUUUGUGAAAAAUUGACUCUUUUUCUUUUAUCAUUAUUUUUCAUUCUCUUUUUUUCUCUGGACCAAUUGCUUUAAAAAAUGAAAGAAAAAUUAAUUGAAAUCUUUGUUCGUAUGAUGAAUCUUUCUAUAUAUAUUUGAUGACAAAUUUUAUUUACUUAUUUUUAAUUUUUUAUAAUAUUAAAAAGAAACUUAAUAUUUUUAACAGUCGUAAUUUUUUUUCAACCAUUGUUUUCUCUUUCUCAUACCUUUUAUUACGCAAAAUAUCAAUACACAUACCGUUUAUAACCGUUUUUAUUAAUCUUGCUAUUUUAGCUAUUAAUUUUUUCAUUACCUUGCGGUUAUUAUUUUUCCAAUUAGUUUGUAAAAGUAUUCAUAAAUGUUUUUAUGAUUUUCUAUAUUCUUCUCGGAUUGGUCUGAUUACAUGAUCACAUAAAGCAACAUCCCACAUCGUAAAUAAACUUUUAAUUAUUUUAAGAAUGUUUUAAAUUUAUCAACAAACGUCAUUUUAUGUAAUAAUAAUUUGUAUAUCAAUCGUUCUAUUUAUGAAGAGAAGUGUACAUAAUUCUGAAAUGUUUCUUCGAUGAUUAUAAAAAUAUCAAUUUUCUUUUUCUAACCUUAAAAGAAAUUGAUUAUUUCCGCGGAAAGGUCAAUAUUCGAUCAAAUUUAGUAAAAAAUUAAAUGUUGUAUUUAAGAUAAUUUAUUCGCGCAAAAAUAUAGGCUUUAAAAAAACCGAGAGCGACCUUGAAAUUACCAAGUUAAAAGAGAUAAAUAAUUCGAUCGGCACGAGUCUCGAAGCUUUUCUAUCAAUUCCACAUUUUUUUUUUUUACACAUGUCAAGAAUUUUUUUCUCUUUUUCAAAUGAAUAUUCAUAAAGCAUAAAAAAAAAAUAACAAUUUGUCCGUCGAGGAAGCUAGUAAACAAACAUCCCGCGAUCACAUGAUAUAUGGUUAAAUAGUACAGACCGAAUUAAUCAAGAAUUAUAAAUAUUACGUGAAUGACGAAUUUGAGGAAAACAAAUUAUAUAAUACUUUUCACAGACGAUACGUAAUACGCCAUUAUGAUAACCACCGAUAAAUAUAUAGUAAUGCAGUAGUAUUCGCGACACUCGUGUUCGUUCGUCAUUUUGGUGGGCUCGAUAUCUCGAAAGCUCCUUCCUAUCGAUUAAAGAACGAUAUAUAGGUGGCGCUCGUUCUUAAAAUAUCGAUACCGACGAGUUUAAUAUAUUAAUGCACUUCCAAUGCGAAAUCGGGGAACGCGAUGCAAUUAUAUUAUAUUUUUUACAUCACAAAAUUAUCAAUUAUUUUGAGUAUUUUUAAUUUUAGAAAGAAACUUUGAGCAAAUAUAGUGUAUCUUGUUUCGAUUACUCGAUUAAAUUGUGAGAGGAGGAAUUAGAAGAGAAUCGAGAGAGGAUUAAAUAUGCACUUUCCACGAAAGUAUGAUACAUCACUUGCGAGGUCAUCAUUCCCAUCGCUAACGCACACGCAGUCACGUGUAUUGCGUAUAGACGCGCGAGGACAACCUGCAGAUGCAUGAAUGACUCGAAAUGACGUGUGUUCAUUGAGCGCCGCUUGGCGUGCCGACUUGGUGCUCUCGGUUGCUCCCAGCAAGGACACGACAUAUUUUCUGACUUGCGUAGGAAAAGAUUCGAACCGACCGAUUUCGAUCGCGACUGCAUUUUCGUAAUCACGAUCGAUCUUUCACGAUCAUUUACGAUCUAUGUUUACAAUUAAAAAAUUCGAUUAAGUUCAUCUACGUCAUUCUACAAAAUAUAUUUAAAUGUACACAUAACCAAGAAAUCUUUAAACUUUAAUUUUCUCUAAAAUAUAAUUUCAUUUUAUUUUAUAUUUCCGAUUUAUCUUUAAAUCAAGAAUUAUUCCCUCGUGCUACGAUUUCUUGUAUAAUCUUAAUAUCAUAUCUGAUAUAUCUCUAUACAAUACUGACGAAUUAUUAAAAAGUUUUACAUUAAAAACAUUCUAGGACAACUGUUCAAAUAUUUUCAUUAAUCACUAUUAUAUAAUACAUGUAAAAUGAAUGAAGCAAACUAAUAACUAAUAAAAAAUUUGUUCCAAAGCUCGUGCCUAUCAUUGAACAAGUGUAACAUCCAGUAUCGAUGAUUCGGAGUAUUAGCGAGGGAUAGGCAAGGUAGGGCGGGUACGAGGGUGGGGGACGAGGAGAGGAGAGGAAGCGAAGGAAAUGAGCGUGCACACUUACGCUUACGCAUACGAGCGUGUAGUAAAUGCGUACAGAGGCUGCAUCGGUAAACCGAUUAAACGACUUACAUAAGUUCCAAUUGGCAGAAUCUCGAAGCACACGUAGAUUCGAUGAAAAGGAGAUUCGUGUAAGGUCAAGAGGAGAAGCGAAGAAACGGAACGUCGGUAAGAGAGAAUUCUGCUUGCCGUCUCGAAAAUCGAUGAUACAUACGGGCUGAAACGGAAAAAAAGGAAUGUGAGUGCAUUGCGCUCGGCGUUCGACGCGGAUGCAUUUCCUGUAUGCAUGGUGCACAAAAUGACGAUAGCCUCGUUUCGAGUUCCUUCGCUAAUUAUGUUUCAAAUUUACCGAUUUACUGGCGAAAAGGAAGUGGAACAGUUAUACCUACCAUUAAAAAAUUAAUGAGUCAUGGUAUCUCCUCGGAGAAUUUUAAGUAUUCGAUGGUCAUACAUUGCUCGUCUUCCGGUAUCUCAUCAUUUUUAACCUUUUUGAAUUAAGAACGGAAAUUAUGUAUAUCGUUCUAAUUUUUUUUUUCACAAUUUUGCGAUCCUUCCACUUUGAAAUGUAUAUUAUUAAUCAAAAAUUUAAUAAAGAAAAGUAAUAUCAGAAUCUAUUAUAAAUGGAAUUAUUAUAGAUGCAUAUAUAAUAAUACACUUGUUAAUAAUAAAAUUGAUAAUAGAUAAAUGAAA